GGGGUUAUACAUUUAACUUCAAAAAGGGGGGGGGGGGUAUAAAAAAGAAGAUGUGGUAUGAUUGCCAAUGAGACAACUAUCCACAAAAGACCAAAAUGAAACAGACAUUAACAACUAUAGGUCACCGUACGGCCUUCAACAAUGAGCAAAGCACAUACCGCAUAGUCAGCUAUAAAAGGGUGUGGUUUUCUCCUAAAACAAUAUUUUGAUCCCAAAUUUUAUGAGAACAAAUUUAUUAUGGUCAAGCAGAUGAAUACCGUAAAUAGUUUUAAUUUAAACAAAAAUAAAUGGGUGAUGGUGUUGAAAAGUAAAUAGUUAAUAUACUCAAAAAAGAACAUACCGCCCCCUGUAUGAAGCAAAAUAUUCGGUCAAUAAAUGUUUUCUUGAAUAUAUUGAUAUGAAUAGUAUUUUGGACAAUGCUGAAAAUAAGAAAUGAUGAUACAGACGUGAAUAGUUCAAUAAAAAUAAGACAGGGGGUCAUGAGGAAGUUUGCCCAUGAUUCAAUUGCACCUUUACAUUAACCAAAAGAUACAAUUUAAUACAAAUUUCCAUAGACAUAUUGCGAUUGUAAAUAAUUAUUAGUUUCGUUUUAAAAAAAAAGGCACAG
rnacentral:lncRNA from 1 species